CACGGCAAAAGCAAAACCAUGGGCAACAUAUACAACCAUUCCUCUCUCUCCUCAGAAACCCUCUCUCUCCAAAUAUCAAAACCUUCUCCUUCCCCCAAAAAUCCAAAAUCAAAAUCCAAAACUUAGGAUGAGAAAGAAGGAAAAGCCGGUCGGAUAUGUUGGGAAACGAUUGACCCAUCAUCUUUACCUCUUAGAGCUCACCUUACUCUCCAUCUGACAAACCAAGGAAAGGAAACUGGUACAAUGAUGAAAAAGCUAGAAUUCUUGACGGCUUGCAAGGCUGACCAGCGGUUGCACUUCAAAUCCAAGGAUUGUAUUAGUGGAAAUUCAAUUUCAUUCCAGCCAAGCUAAAUAAGGUUGCUGUAAUGUUAGCUAAUUGUGCAUGUGACUCCUUCCAUUGGAUUUCCAGAUCAUCCACACAGAGGUUCUGUCCUCAUUGUUGUUUUUGAUAUUAUGUGCAUUCAUUAAUCGUGGAUCAUUUUGUAUAAUUAAUUAGGUAUAUUCUGAUGUGAUUUAUGUUUUACAAGUUUUGA